rnacentral:rRNA from 1 species
UACGUAGGGGGCGAGCGUUGUCCGGAAUUAUUGGGCGUAAAGAGCUCGUAGGCGGUUUGUCGCGUCGAAUGUGAAAUCCCGAGGCUCAACCUCGGGCUUGCAGUGGGUACGGGCAGGCUAGAGUGCGGUAGGGGAGAAUGGAACUCCUGGUGUAGCGGUGGAAUGCGCAGAUAUCAGGAAGAACACCGAUGGCGAAGGCAGUUCUCUGGGCCGUAACUGACGCUGAGGAGCGAAAGCGUGGGGAGCGAACAGG